GGGUACUCUGUGACGGCAGCCGCGGUAAGACAGAGGCUGUGAUCGUUAAUCGGAUUUACGUGGCUUAAAGCGUGCGUAGGCGGCUUUUUAAGUCGGAUGUGAAAUCCCCUAGCGUAACUUGGGAAUUGCAUUCGAUACUGGGAAGCUAGAGUAUGGGAGAGGAUGGUAGAAUUCCAGGUGUAGCGGUGAAAUGUGUAGAGAUCUGGAGGAAUACCGAUGGCGAAGGCAGCCAUCUGGCCUAAUACUGACGCUGAGGUACGAAAGCAUGGGGAGCAAACAGGAUUAGAUACCCCAGUAGUC
rnacentral:rRNA from 1 species